UACGUAGGGUGCGAGCGUUAAUCGGAAUUACUGGGCGUAAAGCGUGCGCAGGCGGUUAUGUAAGUCCGAUGUGAAAUCCCCGGGCUUAACCUGGGAACUGCAUUGGUGACUGCAUCGCUCGAGUAUGGCAGAGGGGGGUAGAAUUCCACGUGUAGCAGUGAAAUGCGUAGAGAUGUGGAGGAAUACCGAUGGCGAAGGCAGCCCCCUGGGUCAAUACUGACGCUCAUGCACGAAAGCGUGGGGAGCAAACAGG
rnacentral:rRNA from 1 species